GUAACACGUCAAAUCAAGAAAGAGAAUAAAAGUAGCAAUGACAAGAAUAAUCCCUCUGUUUCUAGUGACCACCUUAGCAGCAAAAACAAGUCCGCUGCUUCUGUUUCUAAUGACCCGAAACCAGAAGAUGAAGUCAAAUCCUCUUCUACAGAAGAACCAAAGAGCACAAAUGUCUCUGGAGACGACAAUACAUUGAAUGAACAAGACAAUGGCAGCAAUAAAAGUAAUAGCGAGUCCAACGAGGGAGCUGAAAAAGUUGCAGCGCCAGAAAGUGAUGAAGAACAGAUGAAUGGUUAAGCUGGGCAAGAAGACUGUCAGUGAGUUGGACUUCGUGACUUGCUUUAGUCGAGUCGAAGAGCGGUGUGGAAUCUAUAAAACGGCACGCAUUUUUGAAGUUUAUGCAAUGUUUUCUUUGGUAA